CAAGGAUUCGCUUUGGUGAGACUUGAGAUCAUGUCUACAGUCACUUUAUGGUUUAGAUGGUUCCUUUUUUUAAACCUUCUGUUGGCCAAAGUUGCACCGACUUUCAGAGAAAUCAGGUUUUGUUUUGAGAGGAACCAAUGGAACGACCUUUCUGGUAUAGGCACCUCUGGUUGUGAUUGAAAUCUCUACAUCCCAUUCAUGAGAACCUCAAACCUGUCUGGGGCAAGAGCAAACUCACAUUGUCACUAAAAUGAAUUCACACCACUCUCUCUUUUGCUGCCAUAUCCAUCUGUUUGUCCGGCCCCACAUUCAGUGAUCAACUUUACAAGCACCCGCUCACUUCCAGCUCUAGUAUCAAAAUACAACCCAUCACCAAACGUCCUUCAAUUCAAAGCCUUAGCUGAACAUGGAAAUAAAACUGAAGCCUUAAGCAUAAAGAUUUUACAGAAGAAGAAGAGCAGCUCAUUAUUCAGUACCAUGCAGCUAUAGGCAGCAGAUUGGAGGUCACCAUACCCAAGAAGAUUUUUCAGUGAGAGGCAAGGAACCCAAGGACGAGGUUCAAAUUUAUACCUGGAUGGAUGCUACACUUAGAGAAAUGACUCAUCUCGCGAAGAGAAGUAUCUCCAGCUGCCAGAAGACGAGAUGCAAAAUUGUCAUUUGCAGUUGUAUAUCCUGAUAAAAAUGGUCGUAUGCAAGUAAAGAAGGUAUAUACUCCGAGGAAUGCGCCUUAUGCUAGUGAGGAAAUUGAUGUGGUUCGUGAGCAAUGGGCUAAGUGUUUUACCAGCAAGUAUUUGUUAUUGGCGUGAGCGCUUGAUCGAGUUGGUUUAGAUGUUAUAGAACAAUCUUUUAUAUUAAAAUGUAUGCGUUCGUUGGAAUUGGACGUACAUAUAUUUAAAUGUAUGUGGUACGUGCACUUUGGU